CAGAAGUAAGAGAAGGAAAGCUCCAGACCCAGUGAGCUCCACAUAAUUGCUUUUCUUCAUACAAUGGUUACAAACUCCCUCCUUUUUUCUGAAGAAAAAAGAGAUUAAAAGUGUGACUAUUACAUGACAGACAUUUAAGCAGUACUCCCCUUCGCAGCCCCUGGAAUCCAAGAAGCAGCAGUGGUAGGUGUUCCUAUGUGGAUCCUCAUUGCAUUCACCAAUUGCUAAAACUCUUGACUCCAUUUUUGC
rnacentral:lncRNA from 11 species